rnacentral:rRNA from 1 species
ACGCUUGGUAUGGGGGGAAUCGACCCCUCCCGUGCCGGAGCUAACGCGUUAAGCGUGCCGCCUGGGAAGUACGGUCGCAAGAUUAAAACUCAAAGAAAUUGACGGGGACCCGCACAAGCGGUGGAGUAUGUGGCUUAAUUCGAUGCAACGCGAAGAACCUUACCUGGGCUUGACAUGCAUCUCUCAAACGGUGAAAGCCGUGGAUAGGAGCAAUCCUAAAUUUGCACAGGUGUUGCAUGGCUGUCGUCAG